UACGAAGGGGGCUAGCGUUGUUCGGAAUUACUGGGCGUAAAGCGUAUGCAGGCGGACUUUUAAGUCGGGGGUGAAAUCCCGAGGCUCAACCUCGGAACUGCCUUCGAUACUGGAAGUCUUGAGUCCGGGAGAGGUGAGUGGAACUCCGAGUGUAGAGGUGAAAUGCGUAGAUAUCUGGAGGAAUACCGGUGGCGAAGGCGGCAUCCUGGACCGGCAUUGACGCUGAGGAGCGAAAGCCAGGGGAGCAAACGGG
rnacentral:rRNA from 1 species